rnacentral:lncRNA from 1 species
AUGGCGGCUGUGUUGAAGUUACGAAGAGGAUGCGGCGCCUUUGACUGAGAGGGUAGGCCAGGCGAGGCAUCAGGGACGUUGUUCGGCACAGCAGCAGACCGGCCCGGACGUCGUGGACGCUGUCAUGUACGGUGCCGGCGGGGGCCGCGCCAAGGCGGAGAGGAAAGGCGGAGUGAAGGAGGAGGCCGGGCCCGGUGGCACCGGCACUGGGGGCAACCGGGUGGAGCUUCUGGUUUUCGGCUAUGCCUGCAAGUUGUUCCGCGACGACGAGCGGGCUUUGGCCCAAGAACAGGGACAGCACCUCAUCCCCUGGAUGGGGGACCACAAGAUCCUCAUCGACAGAUACGACGGGCGUGGUCACCUGCAUGACCUCUCCGCCUACGAUGCUGAGUACGCCACGUGGAACCGAGACUACCAGCUGUCUGAAGAGGAGGCGCGGGUAGAGGCGCUGUGUGAUGAAGAGAGGUAUUUAGCCUUGCAUACGGACUUGCUUGAGGAGGAGGCAAGGCAAGAGGAAGAAUACAAAAGAUUGAGUGAAGCGCUGGCGGAGGAUGGGAACUACAGUGCCGUAGGGUUCACUUACGGCAGUGACUAUUACGACCCGUCAGAGCCCACAGAGGAGGAGGAGCCCUCGAAGCAGAGAGAAAAAAGUGAGGCUGAAAACUUGGAAGAAAAUGAGGAGCCUUUCAUCGCCCCUUUAGGACUAAGCGUCCCGUC